AGGGGGGGUGCGUUCUGGCGUCCGUCCCAUGUUGAGCAGAUCCCAUUCAGGGUUCCAGUAGCAUUGCGCCUAUGUGGUAAGCCUUCUAUGCGAGGUGUCAUUGAGGGAGCGCUAUCCUCAGUCCGGGGUGUCUGUUCUUAGGCUGGUCUCAAGCAAUUUUGUGUGGUUCGCAUCCCAGGGAUCCCAUAUACGAUGGAAUGAUUUGUACGUAUCAUUAAUCUGUGCUGUCAACUCGUCUAGGUCUCGGGUCUCUUUAAUUUUACUGAUGAUCGUAGAGAUGUGGGGUGUUCUCUGGUCAGCCCAUAGUUCUGCUAUUGCCCUUCGGGCUGCUAGGUUGAUUCGGGCGGUUAGUUUGUUUUCACUCCUCGUGAGGGAGUCUAAUGGUUUGCUGAGUAGCAUAGUCCACGGUUGUACGACCACUGGCUUCUCUAUGAUCGUUUCUAUG